rnacentral:rRNA from 1 species
GCGCAGCAGUCGCGAAACCUUCGCAAUGCGGGAAACCGCGACGAGGGGACUCCCAGUGCCUACGCUCAGCGUAGGCUGUUCCCGAGCCUAGAAAGCUCGGGGAGUAAGGGCUGGGUAAGACGGGUGCCAGCCGCCGCGGUAAUACCCGCAGCCCGAGUGGUGGCCACUAUUAUUGGGCCUAAAGCGUCCGUAGCCGGCCCGGUAAAUGCCUGGGUAAAUCGUGAGGCCUAACCUCACGAAUUCCGGGUAGACUGCCGGGCUAGGGACCGGAGGAGGGAGAGGGUACUCCAGGGGUAGGGGUGAAAUCCUGUAAUCCCUGGAGGACCACCGGUGGCGAAGGCGCUCUCCUAGGACGGGUCCGACGGUGAGGGACGAAAGCCAGGGGAGCGAACCGGAUUAGAUACCCCCGUAGUCC